rnacentral:rRNA from 1 species
CCUACGGGAGGCAGCAGUGGGGAAUAUUGGACAAUGGGGGGAACCCUGAUCCAGCGACGCCGCGUGAGUGAAGAAGUAUUUCGGUAUGUAAAGCUCUAUCAGCAGGGAAGAAAAUGACGGUACCUGACUAAGAAGCCCCGGCUAACUACGUGCCAGCAGCCGCGGUAAUACGUAGGGGGCAAGCGUUAUCCGGAUUUACUGGGUGUAAAGGGAGCGUAGACGGUGCAGCAAGUCUGAUGUGAAAGGUCGGGGCCCAACCCCGGGACUGCAUUGGAAACUGUUGAACUGGAGUACAGGAGAGGUAAGCGGAAUUCCCGGUGUAGCGGUGAAAUGCGUAGAGAUCGGGAGGAACACCAGUGGCGAAGGCGGCCUACUGGGCUCUAACUGACGCUGAGGCACGAAAGCGUGGGUAGCAAACAGGAUUAGAUACCCUUGUAGUC